GGGGUCUGGGAUUCGAACUCUGGUCUUCAAACUUAAGAGCAAGCACUCUUGACCAGGGAGUCAACUCCAGCAGCCCAUAUCUUAGUUUAUGGCUCUUAGUUUCACAGUACAGAAGCCUCCUGAAGAUGGUGCUUGCCUCUUUGGACAUGCCUAGAAGCAUCAGUGAAAAUUAUCAAAUGAAUGUAGAAAAAGACACAAGAGACAAAAGGCCAAGACAGAAAAGGGGAAGUGUGGCAGAACAGCAGCAACAACUCAAAAUUAGAAUUCCUGACAAGCACAGCUGGUCCUUCCACUGGACAUCUCCAGAGAGCAUCUCUCGCCUCUUACCUGGCACCCUGUAGUGUCCUCUGCUUUACCCUCUGCAUGAGCAAAUUACUGGUGACAAACACAUGAGAAUAAUGGACACGGAAGAAAAGAAAGCUGCUCUUGUGCCACUAAACCUCAGCUGUCAGGAAGCAUCUCUAAUACCACGAGUACAGAUCCUAAUUGUUUCUUGGAAGUGAUCUCUUUGUGCCAACUCAAGCCAGAAGACACUCAGCAUUCAUCACUUCAUGCCCUAGUGUGAACACAGUGCGAUCUGGUCAGA